rnacentral:rRNA from 1 species
GGGCACGCAGGCGGUGACUUAAGUGAGGUGUGAAAGCCCCGGGCUUAACCUGGGAAUUGCAUUUCAUACUGGGUCGCUAGAGUACUUUAGGGAGGGGUAGAAUUCCACGUGUAGCGGUGAAAUGCGUAGAGAUGUGGAGGAAUACCGAAGGCGAAGGCAGCCCCUUGGGAAUGUACUGACGCUCAUGUGCGAAAGCGUGGGGAGCAAACAGGAUUAGAUACCCUGGUAGUCCACGCUGUAAACGAUGUCGAUUUGGGGGUUGAGCUUUGAGCUUGGCGCCCGUAGCUAACGUGAUAAAUCGACCGCCUGGGGAGUACGGCCGCAAGGUUAAAACUCAAAUGAAUUGACGGGGGCCCGCACAAGCGGUGGAGCAUGUGGUUUAAUUCGAUGCAACGCGAAGAACCUUACCUACUCUUGACAUCCAGAGAACUUUCCAGAGAUGGAUUGGUGCCUUCGGGAACUCUGAGACAGGUGCUGCAUGGCUGUCGUCAGCUCGUGUCGUGAGAAG